UACGUAGGGUGCGAGCGUUGUCCGGAAUUAUUGGGCGUAAAGGGCUCGUAGGCGGUUUGUCGCGUCGGGAGUGAAAACCAGGUGCUUAACACCUGGCUUGCUUUCGAUACGGGCAGACUAGAGGUAUUCAGGGGAGAACGGAAUUCCUGGUGUAGCGGUGAAAUGCGCAGAUAUCAGGAGGAACACCGGUGGCGAAGGCGGUUCUCUGGAACGGUACUGACGCUGGAGACGCGAAAGCGUGGGGAGCGAACAGG
rnacentral:rRNA from 1 species